GUGGGGGUGCCGGAGCCUGGCCAAACGGGCAGGACUUAAGAUCCUGUGGCAAGCGCCUACGCGGGUUCGAAUCCCGUCCCCCACA
rnacentral:tRNA from 1 species